CUUUCAGUUUUUUGAAACCAUCGUCCACGUGAGCUUUUUGGUUUCAAAAACUAAAAGCUGACUCCGUUUUCCUUUUUCUUUCAACCAAACUAGGUUUUGCUCAUUAGUUGCGUGCGAUUUCGCAUUUUCGUAAAUCGAUUCGGGAUAAAGUUACAGUAGAGAAUAGGCUUGCCUAAAGAAAAGGAAGCGUGUCCUGAAAACGUCCAGUUUGUGGCUGCCCUGCUCAACUACAGAACGGCUACUCUUCUUCAUUUGUCGCUGGACUUCUACUUCUGCCCCAUGAUCCUGACUAGACGAUUUCGUCAGCGUGCAGUUCUAGGGCAGGUGCACUUGGGAACAGUGAAACAGAACCAGGGACAGUGAAACAGAACGAGCGAAGAUGCGUAUUCGCAAGAAUUUAAAAUGAAAUAAACGGGGAAGUUUCGAACCCCAAACAUCCGAAGCAGAAUUCCAGCGCACAUUUGGCAAAGGCUUUGUUGGCGCUAUGAAAGCACAUGUCCGCACCGCUGACUUCGCGACGUGACAGCCGCCAGAGCGAUGACCUCCUGGAUGAAAAGCGAAAUCGCGCGCUGCCGAAUUUUAGCCGACUACCGGGAACGGCCGCCAAAUUAAGAGCAUAAAGAUACCGGUAGAUUUGUUGUCCAAAAUGACUUGAGUUUUAUUGUUGUGUCUUGAAUUCGCUUUUUUUAAGUUUUAUAAGGUAGUGAUUUAUAUGACCUAGAUGAUUUUAAUUAACUGGUCAAGUUAGUAAUUUGGUUCCUGGUUUUUUAAAGUUAUUUUGCACUUAAUAGGUUAUUGUUACGACUUCGUAUUAAUUGCUUUUCCAGUUACGGAAUUAGUUUUUUAGCGGAAAUAAUUAAAAUUCAGCAAUUUAAA